UUGCAGAGGAUGCUUCGGGAGCGGUCCCCAUCUAAGUUCCCUGGAACGGGACGUCAUAGAGGGUGAAAAUCCCGUAUGGGAUGGGGUGUCCGCGCCCGUGUGAAGCUCCUUCGACGAGUCGAGUUGUUUGGGAAUGCAGCUCUAAAUGGGUGGUAAAUUUCAUCUAAAGCUAAAUAUUGGCCGGAGACCGAUAGCGCACAAGUAGAGUGAUCGAAAGAUGAAAAGCACUUUGAAAAGAGAGUUAAAAAGCACGUGAAAUUGUUGAAAGGGAAGCGCUUGCGACCAGACUCGCUCGCGGGGUUCAGCCGGCAUUCGUGCCGGUGUACUUCCCCGCGGGCGGGCCAACGUCGGUUUGGGCGGUCGGUCAAAGGCCCUCGGAAGGUAACGCCCCCAGGGGCGUCUUAUAGCCGAGGGUGCAAUGCGACCUGCCUAGACCGAGGAACGCGCUUCGGCUCGGACGUUGGCAUAAUGGUCGUAAGCGACCCGUCUUGAAACACGGACCAAGGAGUCUAACAUCUACGCGAGUGUUCGGGUGUCAAACCCGUGCGCGCAGUGAAAGCGAACGGAGGUGGGAACCCUUUGGGUGCACCAUCGACCGAUCCUGAUGUCUUCGGAUGGAUUUGAGU
rnacentral:rRNA from 1 species